rnacentral:tRNA from 1 species
GGAGUUGUAGCUCAGUGGUAGAGCACUUGCCUGGCUUGUGUGAGGCCCUGGGUUUGAUUCUCAGCACCG